ACUUUUUUUGCUCUUUUAAUCUUUUUCUGUUUUUUCUUUCUUUGUCCAGGAAGGGAACAAAAGAGGGAUUACUAUGAAGUGUUGCAGUUGAAGAAAAAUGCAACUGAAAAGGAAAUCAAA
rnacentral:ribozyme from 1 species